ACGAAGGGGGCUAGCGUUGCUCGGAAUUACUGGGCGUAAAGGGCGCGUAGGCGGAUAUUUAAGUCGGGGGUGAAAGCCCAGGGCUCAACCCUGGAAUUGCCUUCGAUACUGGAUAUCUUGAGUUCGGGAGAGGUGAGUGGAAUGCCGAGUGUAGAGGUGAAAUUCGUAGAUAUUCGGCGGAACACCAGUGGCGAAGGCGACUCACUGGCCCGAUACUGACGCUGAGGCGCGAAAGCGUGGGGAGCAAACAGGA
rnacentral:rRNA from 1 species